GCUGGCCUUGAUUAAUUGCAACUAGGUCAGCUGCACUUAACAGUUACAAGGGAGGAGGUUGGCUGACUUUUACAGAGUUGACUCAGGCUGUAGGCUAGAAGCCUUAUUUUUAAGUAUUCUCUUGGGAAAAUAUGAUAGCACCACUUUCAGGAAGUUGAGAAGUAGCCACAAUGUUGAGUUGGCUUUGAGUCAUCACAAGAACCCACCCAAGUGGAAAAAGCAGGCAUGAGCAAUGGUGCCAGUCACCACUUGGGCUCCACUGCUGCACUGAAGCAGAGGCUCCAGGAACUGUUCUGACAACUUGCUACCCUGCCAUUGGAAGUGGGUUGUCUGGCCGUUCUGCAUGACAGCUUGACGGGACUGCUCUCUUAUUUCAAAGUCACUGAGAGAUCUUAGAUGUGAAUGCAGGAACUCUAUAAAAGGGGAUGAGGAACUUCAGCUUUUUGAACAUGAGGGACCUUUCUUCUAACUGAUUUAUAAGUACUGGAAAUGAAGAGACAUCAAUACAAGCAAAUAUAAGACAAAUCCAAGGUUUUGAAAACUGAAAGAUCUUGAAGUUUAAAAAGCUUAAAAUUGGCUUGGUGUUCCAACAUUUGGCCUGUUCAGUGUCUCCAAAUGAAGAUCAAUGGACUCAAUACCUUAGAAACAGAUUUAAAGACGUUAUUUUAACUUAUUAGUUACAGAAUUUGAGCCUGAAAAUACGUAUGCAUCUACUUAAAAAUAAAUAUAUAUGAGUAGUACCAAUAACUUCUGUUGGGUUAAUUAGAUGUAUGCAUUUCUAGGAUUGGGCACUAAAAUAAUUUUCAGUAUAAAGUUGUACAACUUUGACAGAGCACAGAGACUGGAAGCUGAUAUAAAAAGCCAUGGAGCAGUCCUGAGUACAAAAAGCCAUUUUGUUCAGCCUUUGUAGGUCACUUUUAAAAUGAAAAUUCUGCACUGAGAUGAAAAAAAAAUCAAACUACAAAUAUCUUUUUCAAAUGGCAGUGACCCUAAAAUUAAUUUUCUCUACUG